UUGAGCCGGAUGAUGAAAAAUUAUCAUGUCCGGUUCUUUCGGGGGAUGAUUGAAUCUAUAAGAAUUCACCAAACCUUUUCUCCAGUCGCGAUGCUUAAGUCUAUUCGGAU
rnacentral:ncRNA from 1 species